rnacentral:tRNA from 1 species
UCUAAUAUGGCAGAUUAGUGCAAUGAAUUUAAGAUUCAUAUAUAAAGAUUUUAAUCUUUUAUUAGAA